rnacentral:rRNA from 1 species
CCCUUAGAUGUUCUGGGCCGCACGCGCGCUACACUGAUGCAUUCAACGAGUUUCUUCCUGGUCCGAGAGGAAUGGGUAACCUUUUGAAAGUGCAUCGUGAUAGGGAUAGACUAUUGCAAUUAUUGGUCUUCAACGAGGAAUUCCUAGUAGACGUAGUUCAUCAGACUGCAUCGAUUACGUCCCUGCCCUUUGUACACACCGCCCGUCGCUCCUACCGAUUGAAUGCUCAGGUGAGCCAUUCGGACCUUCAUCAUGCCGGUUUCCGGUUUUGAUGAGGGAAAGGCUUGCGAACCUUAUCAUUUAGAGGAAGGAGAAGUCGUAACA